ACGUAGGGCGCAAGCGUUGUCCGGAAUCAUUGGGCGUAAAGGGCGCGUAGGUGGCCCAGUCAGCGUGCGGUGAAAGCUCGGGGCUCAACCCUGCGUCGGCCAGGGAUACUGCCGCGGCUGGAGCACUGUAGAGGCAGGCGGAAUUCCGGGUGUAGCGGUGGAAUGCGUAGAGAUCCGGAAGAACACCGGUGGCGAAGGCGGCC
rnacentral:rRNA from 1 species